GUAAUUGAUAAACAAAAGCACGUUCUCAUUUUUCUCUUUAAACGAAUUUCCUUAUCGUCUCUCUAACGGUAAUUUUCUCUUCCAACCGCUUAUUCAGCACGGGAUCGCUGUGCUGGUGCAAAGGUCACGAAGCAGACGUAGAAAAGGACAGCCAGACAGCGUUGCCCGUCCGUCAUCAACCACGUCGUGCUUAAGACUGAACAGAAGUACCGCGGAAAUAAAGCCAAGCAUCUAGUAAAUUCAUCCCAUCUCCAAAAAAGAAGAAACAGUGGU